GACGAACGCUGGCGGCGUGCUUAACACAUGCAAGUCGAACGGGAUCCACUGGGCUUUUGUUUGGUGGUGAGAGUGGCGAACGGGUGAGUAAUGCGUGACUAACCUGCCGUAUGGUUGGGGAUAGCUCCUGGAAACGGGUGGUAAUACCCAAUGCUCCAGCUGGAUGCAUGUCUGGUUGGGAAAGCUUUUGUGCCAUAUGAUGGGGUCGCGUCCUAUCAGCUUGUUGGUGGGGUGAUGGCCUACCAAGGCGUCGACGGGUAGCCGGCCUAAGAGGGCGACCGGCCACAUUGGGACUGAGAUACGGCCCAGACUCCUACGGGAGGCAGCAGUGGGGAAUAUUGCACAAUGGGCGCAAGCCUGAUGCAGCGACGCCGCGUGCGGGAUGGAGGCCUUCGGGUUGUAAACCGCUUUUAUAGGGGGGCAAGCUAUGCCUGUGUGGUGUGGUGAGUGGACUUUAUGAAUAAGCACG
rnacentral:rRNA from 1 species